rnacentral:rRNA from 1 species
UCCAGACUCCUACGGGAGGCAGCAGUGGGGGAUAUUGCACAAUGGGGGGAACCCUGAUGCAGCGACGCCGCGUGGGUGAAGGAGCGUUUCGGCGCGUAAAGCCCUAUCGGCAGGGAAGAAGGAGGACGGUACCUGACUAAGAAGCCCCGGCUAACUACGUGCCAGCAGCCGCGGUAAUACGUAGGGGGCAAGCGUUAUCCGGAUUUACUGGGUGUAAAGGGGGCGCAGACGGCAGCGCAAGCCAGGAGUGAAAGCCCGGGGCCCAACCCCGGGACUGCUCUUGGAACUGCGCGGCUGGAGUGCAGGAGGGGCAGGCGGAAUUCCUGGUGUAGCGGUGAAAUGCGUAGAUAUCAGGAGGAACACCGGUGGCGAAGGCGGCCUGCUGGACUGCGACUGACGUUGAGGCCCGAAAGCGUGGGGAGCAAACAGGAUUAGAUACCCUCGUAUGA